rnacentral:lncRNA from 1 species
GCCAGACUCGUCUUGAACUCCUGACCUCAUGAUCCGCCACCUCGGCCUCCCAAAGUGCUGGGAUUACAGUGCUUUUAUGCAGAUGACUGAACCCGUGGAGUUAGGCGGCUGAGAGGAUACAGC